UCCACCAUCGGCCAUUUCCAGACGAAACACAAUUCUUCCCCAAAUUGGGAAGAACCCUAGACUCCUCUCCUUUCCCUCGGCGAAACCCACGGAUCGCCACCUCCGUCGCGUCUCCCGGAGGCGUCCGCCGUCCGUCGUCGCCGUCGCACCUCAGUUCCCCUCUACUCUCCUCUUGAAUUGAAUGGGAAGAUCCCCAAUCGGGGAGAAAAACGUCGAACCCUAGGUAACCAUUGGACGAGAGUGGUCGUCCUCCCCUUUGCGCCGGUCGUUGCGCCUCUCGUUGCAGCCAGAUCGUCCGGAGUUGAGCCAGGCCGUCGCGUGGACUUCCAUGCUCUCGGUGAUGACACGGCGUCGCCGCCACCAUCCAAUCACGUCGCCUAGGUGGAGGGAAAACAAACGUCGACUCCUCCGAGUUACGGUUCCGUUCGAAGUUCUAGCCACCCGUCGCUUCCUAUAUCCCUACGUCUGUUGAUUCUAUUUGUUGAGGUCUAAAGUAGGAUUCAAGGGUUCAUAUACUUUAUCUAGCUAUACCCUGAGUUAGCAUGAUUUUUGACACAUUCGAUACUCGUUUAAGACUGGAAUUUCUCGUUCACUGCAUCUGAUGUUGAUUUCGUUGUGCGAUGCCUCUGUGGUUUGGUUUAAUUAUUGCAUAAGUUUAGAGGAACUACUGGUUUUAGCUUGGCAUGAAGAGGCCUAUGUUUUAUCGAGCAUGAGUCUGAUUCUCUCGUUCUAUCGUGGCUUGAAUGGUGUAUAGGCUUUAUUCACCACUAUCAUGCGAUGUGUUUCCUAGUGCAAAAUGUUGCUACAUGAUGAAUUGAUGGUAUUAUCAACGUUUUGAGUUUGAGGGGAGGUGAAGUUUACCUUCUUUGCUCGGCUCAAACUCCUGCUCAAGCCUCGGUCUCUCUCACUCUCUAGCUUACUGAUUGUGAUGAUAUGUGGUGGUGAAGGAGGUAAAACUGAGAGAUCAUCUCUAUGUAUAGUGGGUGUGUAACUGAAAGCUACAGGGUUGUUAUUUAGUGCCAGAGUAAGGGGUCCUAGGCUGCCCUUUGUUGGCUGAUUUUUCCUGCAACUAUGCAGGCAUGUACUCGUGCAUUAAUUGGAAUUUACAACCUCUUUUGUUCCCAUAUUACAGGGUAUCUCAGCCCCUUGUCUUCUGCUGCACAACCAGUGCUCUCGGUGCACUUUCUGCAGGCGCUUGCCCCUACAAAUCUGCAGCUUGAGGGCUGCAGAUGAGGGUCCUUCUUGGCCCGUAGCAGCUGGAUAAAGGCUGGGAUGCAGGUUGUUGCACUACCACGACUUCCCCAUAUGGUCUUGGAGGGAAUAGCUUAUCUCGUGGUUUGAAACUCUCGGCCCGAAGGGCUCUACGGACUCCGCGUGUUGCGUGGCCUGGUUGGAAGGGAGAGCGAAUCCCUUGUCGUCUUUCCCUUUGUGUAUACUUCAUUUUGUGGGCACAACUGCUUAAGUUUAUGUAAUAGAUCCCUUUAGAAAGAAUACACAGUUAAGUCAUGUAAUAGAUUCUUUUAGAAGAAUCAAGUUUCUAGUAUUUUUCUUGUAUGAGUGUGUAUUGUAAUAUAAUUAGUUAGCGACGAAACUUAUGUUCUAAAUUUCCUUUCUUGUAUGAAUUUGAAGCGUUCACUUUGGGAAGAAAAUAAAGAGAGCGCCAUUUCUUUUUA